GGGUCUUUAGCUCAGCAGUAGAGCGGCAGACUUCGGUCCUCUUUCGAAGUUCCUUUUCAAGGUAUUCUGCAGGUCGCGGGUUCAAUCCCCGUAGGACUCU
rnacentral:tRNA from 2 species